GAGCACCAAAUGGUCCAGAACACACAUACGUUCAUGAUUACAAUUAAGAUUGCUGGUCCAAAAUACUGUAGACAGCCAAAUGCUCCAUAACACUUCCAAGCCAUCACAUCCAUGCAUACUAGGUUGCUGAUUACGUGAAAAUACCCCACAAGAAUUUGGUAGAAAGUGGAGUCAGCUCAAGUGCUUUGAAGCUCGUAGGGAAAUUGGCAGCCAAGAGAAGCACAAGAAUUAAGUAUUUAUGACAUAUGUCCAUAACACACAUAACAUAGUUCUGUCAUACAUGAGGUAAGAUAUUUAUAAAAUGAUAAAAGGAAUCAUCAUGCAGACAUAUCUACAUAUAUAUAGAAUAUGCAUUUUUCCAUGGCAGACAAAUCUACAAAUUUUAUUCAACAUCUUACAUGCAACAAACUGUAGUAGGAUCAGCCAAUCUGAAGUUGUAUUUGUUCUACUACAAAGUUAGCUGAUGUAAUCUUCAAAGUUUGAAAAUAAUUGUGUUUGUACGUUAUCUGAUGAAGUAGAACGGAAAUGUACAACUUCUGACCCCAAAAACUGUAGUAUGUGAAGUUCAGUUUAUGCCAUGUGAUCUUCAGAUUGUGACCACCAAAGGGAUAACACCAAACUGAUUUGUGUAUGUUAACUCCUAUAAGCAAUGUAUGUGCGCUUCAGAUCAUGUUGUGUUAUUUUCAUAUUUUUUAUUAUAAACUGCAGUAUGUGGAGUUCAGUUUUAUGAACAAGAUACAAAAUGUUAUCUAGUAAUGCUAUAGGUUCAGGCAGAAAUGUCGCGCUUUAGUCAAGGCUCAAAAUGAUCUAGGUAUAUUUCUAAGAGAGAAACAAUAAACUUAAUGUAUGUAUUAUGUUGUAGUACCUGCACCUCCUGGUACAUUAGUUGCCAUCUUGUCAUCCUUCAUCUACAACAAUAACCAUUACUUAAUAGAAAUAAAUGUUGCCUUCUUAUCAGUUUUUUUCUAGAAUAAUCCUUAUCAGUUUGAGGCUGCUUCUUUCACUGCAAAUUGCUCUGAAAAAAUGUGUAGACAUGUAUCAACCAUCCUGCAAAAAAAAGAAAAUGUGUUCAAUAUAGAUAAAUCGGCUUCCGAAAUCAAAUCAUAAAGUAAAGGCCAAAGGUCUGCAAGUUAUUUUCAUAUUGUGUUAUUUUCAUAUUUUUUAUUAUAAACUGCAGUAUGUGGAGUUCAGUUUUAUGAACAAGAUACAAAAUGUUAUCUAGUAAUGCUAUAAGUUCAGGCAGAAAUGUCGCGCUUUAGUCAAGGCUCAAAAUGAUCUAGGUAUAUUUCUAAGAGAGAAACAAUAAACUUAAUGUAUGUAUUAUGUUGUAGUACCUGCACCUCCUGGUACAUUAGUUGCCGUCUUGUCAUCCUUCAUCUACAACAAUAACCAUUACUUAAUAGAAAUAAAUGUUGCCUUCUUAUCAGUUUUUUUCUAGAAUAAUCCUUAUCAGUUUGAGGCUGCUUCUUUCACUGCAAAUUGCUCUGACAAAAUGUGUAGACAUGUAUCAACCAUCCUGCAAAAAAAGAAAAUGUGUUCAAUAUAGAUAAAUCGGCUUCCGAAAUCAAAUCAUAAAGUAAAGGCCAAAGGUCUGCAAGUUAUGUACUUGGUUAGUAUAAUGAAUGAACUUGUCAAAAGAACAAAUAUUAUGCCAACAACCAGAAUGAACACGAACAUCUCAUAUAAGUAUUGAAUGUCUGAAUCCUGAAAUUAUCUAGCCACUGCACCAAGGUGGCGGACUCUACAAUUUGAAUUCACAUGUCCAAGCAAUGCGGUGUGAGGCACUAUGAGAAGGUGCCUCUAAGGUUUGAAUGUGAUCGGAACUUGCAAUUCUCCCCGCUGGAAACCAUAUGCAGCUUCAAGUAGUUGAAGGUAUGUGGAUGUAGAGGAAGAUGAGAGUAUAUGUUGAGCCUAAGGUUUGAAUGCUAAUGCCAUAUUCAUGCAAAAGGAAAACAACACCGUGCUCACAUAAAAAAAUUAUAUCAAAAGAUGACACUGUUAUUCAUAAAUAUUAUGUGUAGAUGACGAUGUAAUUCAAAAGUGAUGGAGAAUAAAAUUGGAAUGUGCCUCCUUAAACAUUGACUGGACUUUGGGUCCACCUCGGCGCCCUCCGCUCGCCCACCUCUCGUCCUUGCUGCCAGGUAGUAUCGCGUACUCGCCGCCCUGCAAGCUCACCAUCAUGUACACCCGCUCCUGCAGC
rnacentral:lncRNA from 1 species